rnacentral:rRNA from 1 species
GGUUAAGCGACUAAGCGUACACGGUGGAUGCCCUGGCAGUCAGAGGCGAUGAAGGACGUGCUAAUCUGCGAUAAGCGUCGGUAAGGUGAUAUGAACCGUUAUAACCGGCGAUUUCCGAAUGGGGAAACCCAGUGUGAUUCGUCACACUAUCAUUAACUGAAUCCAUAGGUUAAUGAGGCGAACCGGGGGAACUGAAACAUCUAAGUACCCCGAGGAAAAGAAAUCAACCGAGAUUCCCCCAGUAGCGGCGAGCGAACGGGGAGCAGCCCAGAGCCUGAAUCAGUGUGUGUGUUAGUGGAAGCGUCUGGAAAGGCGCGCGAUACAGGGUGACAGCCCCGUACACAAAAAUGCACAUACUGUGAGCUCGAUGAGUAGGGCGGGACACGUGGUAUCCUGUCUGAAUAUGGGGGGACCAUCCUCCAAGGCUAAAUACUCCUGACUGACCGAUAGUGAACCAGUACCGUGAGGGAAAGGCGAAAAGAACCCCGGCGAGGGGAGUGAAAAAGAACCUGAAACCGUGUACGUACAAGCAGUGGGAGCACGCUUAGGCGUGUGACUGCGUACCUUUUGUAUAAUGGGUCAGCGACUUAUAUUCUGUAGCAAGGUUAACCGAAUAGGGGAGCCGAAGGGAAACCGAGUCUUAACUGGGCGUUAAGUUGCAGGGUAUAGACCCGAAACCCGGUGAUCUAGCCAUGGGCAGGUUGAAGGUUGGGUAACACUAACUGGAGGACCGAACCGACUAAUGUUGAAAAAUUAGCGGAUGACUUGUGGCUGGGGGUGAAAGGCCAAUCAAACCGGGAGAUAGCUGGUUCUCCCCGAAAGCUAUUUAGGUAGCGCCUCGUGAAUUCAUCUCCGGGGGUAGAGCACUGUUUCGGCAAGGGGGUCAUCCCGACUUACCAACCCGAUGCAAACUGCGAAUACCGGAGAAUGUUAUCACGGGAGACACACGGCGGGUGCUAACGUCCGUCGUGAAGAGGGAAACAACCCAGACCGCCAGCUAAGGUCCCAAAGUCAUGGUUAAGUGGGAAACGAUGUGGGAAGGCCCAGACAGCCAGGAUGUUGGCUUAGAAGCAGCCAUCAUUUAAAGAAAGCGUAAUAGCUCACUGGUCGAGUCGGCCUGCGCGGAAGAUGUAACGGGGCUAAACCAUGCACCGAAGCUGCGGCAGCGACGCUGAUGCGUUGUUGGGUAGGGGAGCGUUCUGUAAGCCUGUGAAGGUGUGCUGUGAGGCAUGCUGGAGGUAUCAGAAGUGCGAAUGCUGACAUAAGUAACGAUAAAGCGGGUGAAAAGCCCGCUCGCCGGAAGACCAAGGGUUCCUGUCCAACGUUAAUCGGGGCAGGGUGAGUCGACCCCUAAGGCGAGGCCGAAAGGCGUAGUCGAUGGGAAACAGGUUAAUAUUCCUGUACUUGGUGUUACUGCGAAGGGGGGACGGAGAAGGCUAUGUUGGCCGGGCGACGGUUGUCCCGGUUUAAGCGUGUAGGCUGGUUUUCCAGGCAAAUCCGGAAAAUCAAGGCUGAGGCGUGAUGACGAGGCACUACGGUGCUGAAGCAACAAAUGCCCUGCUUCCAGGAAAAGCCUCUAAGCAUCAGGUAACAUCAAAUCGUACCCCAAACCGACACAGGUGGUCAGGUAGAGAAUACCAAGGCGCUUGAGAGAACUCGGGUGAAGGAACUAGGCAAAAUGGUGCCGUAACUUCGGGAGAAGGCACGCUGAUAUGUAGGUGAAGCGACUUGCUCGUGGAGCUGAAAUCAGUCGAAGAUACCAGCUGGCUGCAACUGUUUAUUAAAAACACAGCACUGUGCAAACACGAAAGUGGACGUAUACGGUGUGACGCCUGCCCGGUGCCGGAAGGUUAAUUGAUGGGGUCAGCGCAAGCGAAGCUCUUGAUCGAAGCCCCGGUAAACGGCGGCCGUAACUAUAACGGUCCUAAGGUAGCGAAAUUCCUUGUCGGGUAAGUUCCGACCUGCACGAAUGGCGUAAUGAUGGCCAGGCUGUCUCCACCCGAGACUCAGUGAAAUUGAACUCGCUGUGAAGAUGCAGUGUACCCGCGGCAAGACGGAAAGACCCCGUGAACCUUUACUAUAGCUUGACACUGAACAUUGAGCCUUGAUGUGUAGGAUAGGUGGGAGGCUUUGAAGUGUGGACGCCAGUCUGCAUGGAGCCGGCCUUGAAAUACCACCCUUUAAUGUUUGAUGUUCUAACGUUGACCCGUGAUCCGGGUUGCGGACAGUGUCUGGUGGGUAGUUUGACUGGGGCGGUCUCCUCCUAAAGAGUAACGGAGGAGCACGAAGGUUGGCUAAUCCUGGUCGGACAUCAGGAGGUUAGUGCAAUGGCAUAAGCCAGCUUGACUGCGAGCGUGACGGCGCGAGCAGGUGCGAAAGCAGGUCAUAGUGAUCCGGUGGUUCUGAAUGGAAGGGCCAUCGCUCAACGGAUAAAAGGUACUCCGGGGAUAACAGGCUGAUACCGCCCAAGAGUUCAUAUCGACGGCGGUGUUUGGCACCUCGAUGUCGGCUCAUCACAUCCUGGGGCUGAAGUAGGUCCCAAGGGUAUGGCUGUUCGCCAUUUAAAGUGGUACGCGAGCUGGGUUUAGAACGUCGUGAGACAGUUCGGUCCCUA